rnacentral:rRNA from 1 species
UUCAAGUUGUAACAAGGUUUCCGUAGGUGAACCUGCGGAAGGAUCAUUA